UACGGAGGGGGUUAGCGUUGUUCGGAAUUACUGGGCGUAAAGCGCGCGUAGGCGGAUCAGGAAGUUGGGGGUGAAAUCCCGGGGCUCAACCCCGGAAUGGCCUUCAAAACUCCUGGUCUUGAGUUCGAGAGAGGUGAGUGGAAUUCCGAGUGUAGAGGUGAAAUUCGUAGAUAUUCGGAGGAACACCAGUGGCGAAGGCGGCUCACUGGCUCGACACUGACGCUGAGGUGCGAAAGCGUGGGGAGCAAACAGG
rnacentral:rRNA from 1 species